CAUCAAUGGAUGCUGAAAUUAGUGACGGAAAGUACGACGAGAAACAAGACAUUUGCAGGGCUCAACCCAACCCCCCCCCAGAUACUUAUGAAAAAUAAAUAGAAACCUAGCAGACGCUGCUCCAGCCAGGCAGUCGAGGCCUGGGUCACAGCCAUGACGGUGGCGACAUUCUGCCCCUCUGGAGCCGACGCCCGGGACGGGCGCAGGGUCCCUCCGGGGAUUCUUGUAAAGAUGCCGAGCUACGACUCUGAGCGGGAGGAACACGCGGAUGUCCACACCCAGGGACGUGCUAUGAAACAACUGGCCAGUCCUCUUCCAAAGGGGCCAGGUCACGACAAGAAAGACUGAGGAGCCGGCCCAGAGUUAGGAGGUGAAGGGGUCCCAAAGCCCGAAUGCCACGUGAGGUCCUGGCGGGAUUCUGGAACAGGAAAGGGCGUCACUGGGAUGACAGGUCCUCAUGACUUCGUCUGCUCGAGUCAGGAGCCGCUCCCAGGGUGGUGUUGGAAAGCAGGGUCCCUCGGCAGAUGGUGGCCCCCCGGGCCGGCCUCCGGUCCUUCCGAGGCCUUGUCCUUCCUUCACCGUGAGACCGGGUCCUGGAGUUGGUCUUUUCUUCAAAUUCUACUGCCGUCACUCUGCUGUGCCUUGAUCGAGCCCUUGGGACACCGAGGAGUCUCCUUAUCCGUCUUCCUCCAGGGACCCCACAGGAAGGGGCCAAGCCCGCCAGGGACAGUCCCACCUGCCAGCCCGUGAGGCUGCAGGCUGAGAGGGAGACGGCUUCUGUCACCACCCUGCCGGGCAACAGGGGCAGGUGGGACAGGAAUAGAGGA
rnacentral:lncRNA from 1 species